rnacentral:rRNA from 1 species
UACGUCGGGUGCGAGCGGGAAUCGGAAUUACUGGGCGUAAAGCGUGCGCAGGCGGAUUGUUAAGCAAGACGUGAAAUCCCCGGGCUUAACCUGGGAAUGGCGUUUUGAACUGGCAGUCUAGAGUGUGUCAGAGGGGGGUAGAAUUCCACGUGUAGCAGUGAAAUGCGUAGAGAUGUGGAGGAAUACCAAUGGCGAAGGCAGCCCCCUGGGAUAACACUGACGCGCAUGUACGAAAGCGUGGGUAGAACACAGGAGGAGAUACCCGCGGAGUCC